rnacentral:rRNA from 1 species
CGGAAUCUGCCUAUUUGUGGGGGAUGACGUAGGGAAACUUACGCUAAUACCGCAUACGACCUACGGGUGAAAGCGGAGGACCUUCGGGCUUCGCGCAGAUAGAUGAGCCGAUGUCGGAUUAGCUAGUUGGCGGGGUAAAGGCCCACCAAGGCGACGAUCCGUAGCUGGUCUGAGAGGAUGAUCAGCCACACUGGAACUGAGACACGGUCCAGACUCCUACGGGAGGCAGCAGUGGGGAAUAUUGGACAAUGGGCGCAAGCCUGAUCCAGCCAUGCCGCGUGGGUGAAGAAGGCCUUCGGGUUGUAAAGCCCUUUUGUUGGGAAAGAAAAGCAGUCGGUUAAUACCCGAUUGUUCUGACGGUACCCAAAGAAUAAGCACCGGCUAACUUCGUGCCAGCAGCCGCGGUAAUACGAAGGGUGCAAGCGUUACUCGGAAUUACUGGGCGUAAAGCGUGCGUAGGUGGUUUGUUAAGUCUGAUGUGAAAGCCCUGGGCUCAACCUGGGAAUUGCAUUGGAUACUGGCAGGCUAGAGUGCGGUAGAGGGUAGUGGAAUUCCCGGU